GACGUAGGGCGCGAGCGUUGUCCGGAUUUAUUGGGCGUAAAGAGCUCGUAGGCGGCUUGUCACGUCGGGUGUGAAAGCCCGGGGCUUAACCCCGGGUCUGCAUUCGAUACGGGCUAGCUAGAGUGUGGUAGGGGAGAUCGGAAUUCCCGGUGUAGCGGUGAAAUGCGCAGAUAUCGGGAAGAACACCCGUGGCGAAGGCGGUUCUCUGGGACGGUACUGACGCUGAGACGCGAAAGCGUGGGGAGCGAACAGG
rnacentral:rRNA from 1 species